GUUCCCACUGCUAAAAGACAUGAGAAACCUUACGUAUUUGUGAGUAAAUGUCACUAAAUCAAUAAAGAACUUAGAAGAUUGUGAUAAUUUCCUUUAGAACCAUAUUAUUUUAUACAUAUGUUGCGUGCUAGCAGGACGUUAAGUAGCUGUAACAUAACUGGAAGCAUUCCUAAUUACCUUACAGGCAUUGGAUCAUUGAAGGCUAUCUAAGUACUGAUUCUAGUAGUAGUACCUCUUUUCUUCUUUUUACAAUUACACUCCACAUCAUAAUUGUUUCAAUAUUCUCGUGACUAAAUGCCAACUCUAUGAGUUACUUAAAAAGAAUAUACCUAGCAGCUCGCAGUCCUGGACUCCCUCUAGCAUUUUAGUUGUUUUCUUUUCACAUUUAUAUGAGCUAAUUUUUCAUGAGAUUUAAAGUUAAAGAAUUGUGUAAACUUUUAACACAACCACAGUUCUUAUUUCCUCUUCUUUCAUUCUAGAAAUAACCAUUUAUUUGGGAGGCAUUGGAAAUUUCUAUCAGUGGAAUAUAAGGAAAGCUCAUAUUUAAGGGAAGCUACCGUAUUUAAUAAGUUACCAUUAAUGGAUAAUUGUAAAUGAUAGCUAGAAUAUUUAGUUUUUUUAUAUUUCAAUAUAACGAGAGAACCUCUUAUAUUGAGGGGCUUAUUGAUUAUGAUUGAGUAUAUUCGAAUAUCAUAUGGAUUAGAACUCAAUUCAUCCUCAAGUGAUUUCUCUAUUCUUUCUCUCUAAUUGCAUCAUCGACAACCGUCUCAACAGUGGGCGGAGGUAGAACAGCCAAAGCAAUAGUGACCUGAAGACUGAGAGAGAGCACUUAACCCUAAGAAAUAUUUAGUUCAAUUGUUUAGCACAGAAGAAAUAGGUUUUGUCGCUCCUAUUGAUACUCAGGCGUUCACAGUGAGGUAAAAGAUGAAUUGUGUGCUCACCACCAAACUAAGUUAAGUACUUCACCAAAGCAGUGAAGCAAUUAAUCUGCGAAGAGUUUCAAGCGAUACAGAGAGAAAAGUUAAUUGGAAGAGAAAGGUUAGGACAAGUUUGCCCCCGCUGCUGUGGACCCUAUCCAUAUUCCUUGUGUUCGAUCUUGUAAAUUGCUAUGAACUGAACAGAACCAAGCAUACUUGCUGCCGUUGCUGACAUGUAAAGCAUCGCCUCCAAUCUGUCAUAGGCAGUGGGAUUUCAGGAACAACCGAUUCUAGAAAAAAUGGAAAUUUCAGUCACCAUUUUCGAGUCCAGUAGUCCACUAGACGACCCAGGGGCCGGAUCUCUCAACGCAGAGAAAUUGCUGAAGAUGAGAGAGAGCUAUUAGUCGAC
rnacentral:lncRNA from 1 species